UGGUUGAUGUAAGCCAAGUCUGAUUAUUAAAAACUUUUUCCGAGUCUAAGGAAAUUUCAUUUCUCAUAUGAUCUCACAUGAAGUUGUUCAGAAGUUUAUGUAAAUACGACCAUCGAUCAAAUGCUAACUUUAGGAGAUUUGGUUCUGAAGUAGAGCCAAACACAGAUUUAUUCAAUUCUUGUAGCUGCUUCAUAGUUAGAAACAAGGCGAAGAAUUACUUUUUGGAACAAAGGAAACAAAAGCUCAUAUGUGGCAUGGCUUGAUUAACUAAAAGCUCUUAUAUGGCAUGGCUUAAUUAACUAACUCCGCUGACGCUUUCUGGACAAAUGAUGCUAAAGAGUGUAUGGGUUUACAAUUUCCUUGCGAGUUGCCAAACCAAAAUUUGUUCCUGUUAUGGUCCCUCCCGAGUUGUUGAUGAGGGGCUUUUUUACAUCUCUUUUAGAGCAUACCUUCAAUAAGAUUAUAAGAGCUCAAACCAAGGACCUGACACGUAUAAGCAAAACAAAAUUACAUGAACUCGGGGGAAAUAGAGCUAAAAGUAGUUUAAGCUGCUUCAUAGUCGGAUGAAUUUCAUUUUUCUAUUCCUUUCAGACAAGUUAACACUUCACAUCAAGAUUUCUCUUUUGGCUUGAAAAGCAUGAACACAUUUAAGAAAUGAGGGGAAAAAACUUACCCUUGACAAAUAAUGGGGUCUUAAAGCAUCAAGGCUUAUGUAUGCAUAAUGAAACGAAUGUGUUCAUAGAAUCUAAAGACUUACAUGCAUAAUGAAAUGAAUCUGUUCAUAGCAUUAAGACUUUCACGUUUUUUGUUGGCCUUUAUUGGUGAUUACGCUGAAAAGUUCGAAAGAGAUGUAUUCACAUGCUUUCCGCCUGUGGUUAUGUGGAGGAGUGCUAAAGUUUUGUUAUUGUUACCUUUUAGGUCAUUUCAGGUAUAUCGAGUUACCGAUUCGUAUAUAUCAUCCUUUUCACGUGAGCGAGGUAGAGCGGUUGCUUAGCCUAUCAUGUUUAAAGUGCUUAAAGAUGAAGAAUAAGAAGGAGUGCAGGGUGCUGCCAAUGAAUUACAAAGCUUAUGGUGUCUUGCAUGUCGGUGUUGAAGAGAAUUUUGUUUGUUGGGUUUUUUUACAACAUACUUUCAUUUUGAUACAAGGGAAGAACGGAGAAGAAGAAGGCUGACUGGAUAAUGGACAUACUAAACUGAUAUUCCCCUUGAUUUUGGUGGUCUUUCACUUCUUUUCUGGUUUGUGUUGAAAGUGGUGGAGUUAUUUUGGAGGCUUGGUCGUGUUUUAGAUUUCGUUUUGGCAAUUGAUCGCUUUUUCGACAGUUGUGUCUCAUUGUUCUUUUGGCUGCAUAUUGUGUUUUGAACGGAUAAAAAUUGAUUCUUUGAGACAUUUGUAUAUUAAUUACAUGCACA